rnacentral:rRNA from 1 species
UACAGAGGUCUCAAGCGUUGUUCGGAUUCAUUGGGCGUAAAGGGUGUGUAGGAGGCUAGGUAAGUCAGGUGUGAAAUCUCACAGCUUAACUGUGAAACUGCGCUUGAUACUGCUUGGCUAGAGGAUCGGAGGGGGUAACGGAAUUCAUGGUGUAGCAGUGAAAUGCGUAGAUAUCAUGAGGAACACCGGUGGCGAAGGCGGUUACCUGGAAGAUUCCUGACUCUGAAACACGAAAGCCAGGGGAGCAAACGGG